UAUUGGACAAUGGGGGCAACCCUGAUCCAGCCAUGCCGCGUGUGUGAAGAAGGCCUUCGGGUUGUAAAGCACUUUAAGUUGGGAGGAAGGCUCUGAGGCUAAUACCCUUGGGGAUUGACGUUACCAACAGAAUAAGCACCGGCUAACUCCGUGCCAGCAGCCGCGGUAAUACGGAGGGUGCAAGCGUUAAUCGGAAUUACUGGGCGUAAAGCGCGCGUAGGCGGCUGAUUAAGUCGGAUGUGAAAGCCCCGGGCUCAACCUGGGAAUUGCAUUCGAUACUGGUCGGCUCGAGUAUGAGAGAGGGAGGUAGAAUUCCACGUGUAGCGGUGAAAUGCGUAGAUAUGUGGAGGAAUACCGGUGGCGAAGGCGGCCUCCUGGCUUAAUACUGACGCUGAGGUGCGAAAGCGUGGGGAGCAAACAGG
rnacentral:rRNA from 1 species